GCUGGCGGCAUGCUUUACACAUGCAAGUCGAACGGCAGCGCGGGGCAACCUGGCGGCGAGUGGCGGACGGGUGAGUAAUAUAUCGGAACGUACCCAGAAGUGGGGGAUAACGUAGCGAAAGUUACGCUAAUACCGCAUACGAUCUACGGAUGAAAGUGGGGGACCUUCGGGCCUCAUGCUUUUGGAGCGGCCGAUAUCUGAUUAGCUAGUUGGUAGGGUAAAGGCCUACCAAGGCUACGAUCAGUAGCUGGUCUGAGAGGACGACCAGCCACACUGGAACUGAGACACGGUCCAGACUCCUACGGGAGGCAGCAGUGGGGAAUUUUGGACAAUGGGCGCAAGCCUGAUCCAGCAAUGCCGCGUGAGUGAAGAAGGCCUUCGGGUUGUAAAGCUCUUUUGUCAGGGAAGAAACGGCUGAGGCUAAUAUCCUCGGCUAAUGACGGUACCUGAAGAAUAAGCACCGGCUAACUACGUGCCAGCAGCCGCGGUAAUACGUAGGGUGCAAGCGUUAAUCGGAAUUACUGGGCGUAAAGCGUGCGCAGGCGGUUUUGUAAGUCUGACGUGAAAGCCCCGGGCUCAACCUGGGAAUUGCGUUGGAGACUGCAAGGCUUGAAUCUGGCAGAGGGGGGGUAGAAUUCCACGUGUAGCAGUGAAAUGCGUAGAGAUGUGGAGGAACACCGAUGGCGAAAGCAGCCCCCUGGGUCAAGAUUGACGCUCAUGCACGAAAGCGUGGGGAGCAAACAGGAUUAGAUACCCUGGUAGUCACGCCCUAAACGAUGUCUACUAGUUGUCGGGUUUUAAUUAACUUGGUAACGCAGCUAACGCGUGAAGUAGACCGCCUGGGGAGUACGGUCGCAAGAUUAAAACUCAAAGGAAUUGACGGGGACCCGCACAAGCGGUGGAUGAUGUGGAUUAAUUCGAUGCAACGCGAAAAACCUUACCUACCCUUGACAUGGAAGGAAU
rnacentral:rRNA from 1 species